rnacentral:rRNA from 1 species
UACGGAGGAUGCGAGCGUUAUCCGGAUUUAUUGGGUUUAAAGGGUGCGUAGGCGGACUGACAAGUCAGCGGUCAAAUCGCGGGGCUCAACCCCGCUUCGCCGUUGAAACUGUCAGCCUUGAGUGAGCGAGAAGUAAGCGGAAUGCGUGGUGUAGCGGUGAAAUGCAUAGAUAUCACGCAGAACCCCGAUUGCGAAGGCAGCUUACCGGCGCUCAACUGACGCUGAGGCACGAAAGUGCGGGGAUCAAA